UUGAGAAAUUGCCUUUCUAUGGCAUUAAUAUUUUUUUGUAUUUAUAUGGCAUCAAAUAUGAUUCUUAGUUUCCAACUUUAGAAGUUUCUUGUGCCAACUAAAUUGCAUGCUGGCUUCUAUAAGAGCUUUGGUUUAAGGCUGCCUGUGCAAGUAAAGCUAAGCAUAUGCUUCAGUGACUAACCAGUUAGUUUGUAAAUGAAAGCAAAGGUAGAACAAACACUGGAAGUGAUAUACACUUAUUUUUUCUCUCCUUCAUGUCGUUACAGGAAUGUCUAGGUAGGCUUUGGUACCCUCAGGUAGUCUACAGGGAAUCAGAAACCAAGGACUGCACUAAGGCACGAGAAGUAGAAUUUGUCUGUCUGCAUAGAGACGUCGAGCCAGCUGAAGACACGAAGCUGGAAAAUGGAGGAUGGGAGGAGAGGGAGGAAUUGAUCAGUCAUGCAGCCUCAACCAAUGGCAUAUCCUCAAGGCAACUUGCAAGACUUGGAGAAAUGCCGACAGAAUUUUCCUAGGCAGAAGGAAGCAGACUGGUGAUGACAUAACCUGGAGGCUUUCACCGUGUUUUGAUGAACAGUUAUGUGUGUGCCAAGUGCUGUAUUCCUACUUUACUUUGGUUUGUUAGGUGUGUUACCUAUCGUGGGGUUUUCCUAUUUUUCCCAGCAAUUACUGUAUGCUGUAUUAAACGCACAACUAUGGUUUAAUUGUAAAGAAUCUGCAUUCUGCUUCUGAAUUAAAUUAGAGGCUUUUCUGUCAGGUUCGUUUUACUAGCAUGGCUGCAUCUCAAAUCAGCCCACAUAAGGAGGGUGAAGAGAAACCGAACAGCUACUCUGUACUGCAUAUCUCACUGAAUAUAUGCAGCGGGGGCAACUCAAAGGAAUCUACCAGCCCCAGAAUAUUUCUUUCUCGUGUACUUUCAGAAGUGUGGGGGACUGAGGAAAGAGGCCCCUCAUAUUCUCCACGACUUCAAUGACAGGGAAAUUGGGCUGAUUGCAAUCAUCCCCCAAAAGCUCACACCUUAUGUAAAAGAGCUCGGUAUCAGAUGAGUAGGAACUUCAGAAUACUUUAAAGUGGCAUGGCAAAGUGAAACAUGCCCACUGAGCUUGUCCUGUGAACAAGCAAAACUUCUUCCAUCAAGUUUACAGAGACUGAUGAAUUUGUGAGAUCGUGUGAUGGGGUGAGGACAGGAGAGGAGGAAAACCAGCCUCCUGCAUGGAGGCUGCACCAGGGAGGUAGCACCAAUGGGGGUACCGUGGUUCCUACCCUUCUCCUUGCUCAACGCCUCGCUUCCCCAAAAGGCCUUGCAAGUUGGAGCGAGGUAACUCAAGUGCAAAUGGGCCUUAUGAGCUGAACUGGAACAAUUGGCCUUGGAAGGAUCAUUUGGGCGAAGGAAACCUUCCAGUGAGACCAGUCUGGAUGUUAACUGCUUUUUCUGUUCUCCUAUCCCCCACAGCAUUGCCAGGAGAAGAAGGUUACAGGCCACAAGCUGUGGAAAUUCAUGCUUAAUACCUUGUCUUCUUGGGGGAGGGUGCAGCUGCAGCAAUAAUGUGCAAGCACCAGUAUGGUACAUGGCCAGCACAGACCCAUGGCUGCAAAAAUGCCCCAUUUUCCUUCUGUGUGUUCUCUGGAACACUCCAUAGCUGCAGCCAAAAAUUACGGUCUGAGCACUGUUUUCUGGCCCCAAAGAAGUAUCUUCAUACACUUGCUACAUGUUCAUUGACUAUUGAAAACAGAAUUAUUUGCUCUUUUCCCCCCCAUGCUAGCUAAUUACAGGUAGGUUUGUAGCUCUGUGUGUGUAUCUGUGUUUGAUUCCUCUAAUCCUACACCCAUGUGAUUUCUGCAAUGACUAUUACAGUGUUUGAUAUUUGCUAAGACAGGCCUAAGGAAUUUAUAGGUAAGGUAGUUACAGGUAAUAAUUUUCCAUUCUUAAUUUCUGGUACCUAAUUAAGUGCAUGUCAGAAGUCAACUUCUGUUCAAGUUCCAGGGUGCUUGCGUGAUGAUCCACAUAGGGACAUAAUUCACUUCAAACUAGACAGCCUGGGAAUAAUCUAAUUUUGGACAGCCCAGCCUUAACAUGGCCUGCAAAAACAGUCCCAGAAAGAGGAUGUAGUAAAACAUAUGACAGAAGCAGAGACGUCUUCACAGUGAAGCGACACUAAAUUAUGCUGAUUUUAGUGAAAUUUUUCCUAUUCUAAACUGACACAGCUUGGAAGUGGAAGACCUGGUCUUCCACUCAGACAAAUGGACUAACGAGACCCUGGAGCCAAUGGCAGGUCAGACUAAAACCCAAUUUUUUUUCAAAAAAUAAGCCUUUUCUGGAAAGUUCUGGGUUGCUCAGAAGUUCACAAUUUGAGUACCAUCACUGAUUUUAAGUUUGCUAGAAAAACGCAAUCCCAAUAAAAACAGACCAGAAUCUCUGUCAUUUCUUCACAAAACCAGUAUUUUCCAUGUUUCCCCCAGCUUUAGCUCCCCUCCUGUUUUCUCCUUCCUUUGAACUCUACAAUAAUGCAGUCUUAUGUACAUUCACUACUAUUAUCAGCAGAGUACUGUCAGAAUAUAGUUAAUUUACUACUGCCAACUGCUUGCCU